GGGUUGUGAGGUUAAGCGACUAAGCGUACACGGUGGAUGCCCUGGCAGUCAGAGGCGAUGAAGGACGUGCUAAUCUGCGAUAAGCGUCGGUAAGGUGAUAUGAACCGUUAUAACCGGCGAUUUCCGAAUGGGGAAACCCAGUGUGAUUCGUCACACUAUCAUUAACUGAAUCCAUAGGUUAAUGAGGCGAACCGGGGGAACUGAAACAUCUAAGUACCCCGAGGAAAAGAAAUCAACCGAGAUUCCCCCAGUAGCGGCGAGCGAACGGGGAGGAGCCCAGAGCCUGAAUCAGUGUGUGUGUUAGUGGAAGCGUCUGGAAAGGCGCGCGAUACAGGGUGACAGCCCCGUACACAAAAAUGCACAUGCUGUGAGCUCGAUGAGUAGGGCGGGACACGUGGUAUCCUGUCUGAAUAUGGGGGGACCAUCCUCCAAGGCUAAAUACUCCUGACUGACCGAUAGUGAACCAGUACCGUGAGGGAAAGGCGAAAAGAACCCCGGCGAGGGGAGUGAAAAAGAACCUGAAACCGUGUACGUACAAGCAGUGGGAGCACGCUUAGGCGUGUGACUGCGUACCUUUUGUAUAAUGGGUCAGCGACUUAUAUUCUGUAGCAAGGUUAACCGAAUAGGGGAGCCGAAGGGAAACCGAGUCUUAACUGGGCGUUAAGUUGCAGGGUAUAGACCCGAAACCCGGUGAUCUAGCCAUGGGCAGGUUGAAGGUUGGGUAACACUAACUGGAGGACCGAACCGACUAAUGUUGAAAAAUUAGCGGAUGACUUGUGGCUGGGGGUGAAAGGCCAAUCAAACCGGGAGAUAGCUGGUUCUCCCCGAAAGCUAUUUAGGUAGCGCCUCGUGAAUUCAUCUCCGGGGGUAGAGCACUGUUUCGGCAAGGGGGUCAUCCCGACUUACCAACCCGAUGCAAACUGCGAAUACCGGAGAAUGUUAUCACGGGAGACACACGGCGGGUGCUAACGUCCGUCGUGAAGAGGGAAACAACCCAGACCGCCAGCUAAGGUCCCAAAGUCAUGGUUAAGUGGGAAACGAUGUGGGAAGGCCCAGACAGCCAGGAUGUUGGCUUAGAAGCAGCCAUCAUUUAAAGAAAGCGUAAUAGCUCACUGGUCGAGUCGGCCUGCGCGGAAGAUGUAACGGGGCUAAACCAUGCACCGAAGCUGCGGCAGCGACACUAUGUGUUGUUGGGUAGGGGAGCGUUCUGUAAGCCUGUGAAGGUGUACUGUGAGGUAUGCUGGAGGUAUCAGAAGUGCGAAUGCUGACAUAAGUAACGAUAAAGCGGGUGAAAAGCCCGCUCGCCGGAAGACCAAGGGUUCCUGUCCAACGUUAAUCGGGGCAGGGUGAGUCGACCCCUAAGGCGAGGCCGAAAGGCGUAGUCGAUGGGAAACAGGUUAAUAUUCCUGUACUUGGUGUUACUGCGAAGGGGGGACGGAGAAGGCUAUGUUGGCCGGGCGACGGUUGUCCCGGUUUAAGCGUGUAGGCUGGUUUUCCAGGCAAAUCCGGAAAAUCAAGGCUGAGGCGUGAUGACGAGGCACUACGGUGCUGAAGCAACAAAUGCCCUGCUUCCAGGAAAAGCCUCUAAGCAUCAGGUAACAUCAAAUCGUACCCCAAACCGACACAGGUGGUCAGGUAGAGAAUACCAAGGCGCUUGAGAGAACUCGGGUGAAGGAACUAGGCAAAAUGGUGCCGUAACUUCGGGAGAAGGCACGCUGAUAUGUAGGUGAAGCGACUUGCUCGUGGAGCUGAAAUCAGUCGAAGAUACCAGCUGGCUGCAACUGUUUAUUAAAAACACAGCACUGUGCAAACACGAAAGUGGACGUAUACGGUGUGACGCCUGCCCGGUGCCGGAAGGUUAAUUGAUGGGGUCAGCGCAAGCGAAGCUCUUGAUCGAAGCCCCGGUAAACGGCGGCCGUAACUAUAACGGUCCUAAGGUAGCGAAAUUCCUUGUCGGGUAAGUUCCGACCUGCACGAAUGGCGUAAUGAUGGCCAGGCUGUCUCCACCCGAGACUCAGUGAAAUUGAACUCGCUGUGAAGAUGCAGUGUACCCGCGGCAAGACGGAAAGACCCCGUGAACCUUUACUAUAGCUUGACACUGAACAUUGAGCCUUGAUGUGUAGGAUAGGUGGGAGGCUUUGAAGUGUGGACGCCAGUCUGCAUGGAGCCGACCUUGAAAUACCACCCUUUAAUGUUUGAUGUUCUAACGUUGACCCGUAAUCCGGGUUGCGGACAGUGUCUGGUGGGUAGUUUGACUGGGGCGGUCUCCUCCUAAAGAGUAACGGAGGAGCACGAAGGUUGGCUAAUCCUGGUCGGACAUCAGGAGGUUAGUGCAAUGGCAUAAGCCAGCUUGACUGCGAGCGUGACGGCGCGAGCAGGUGCGAAAGCAGGUCAUAGUGAUCCGGUGGUUCUGAAUGGAAGGGCCAUCGCUCAACGGAUAAAAGGUACUCCGGGGAUAACAGGCUGAUACCGCCCAAGAGUUCAUAUCGACGGCGGUGUUUGGCACCUCGAUGUCGGCUCAUCACAUCCUGGGGCUGAAGUAGGUCCCAAGGGUAUGGCUGUUCGCCAUUUAAAGUGGUACGCGAGCUGGGUUUAGAACGUCGUGAGACAGUUCGGUCCCUAUCUGCCGUGGGCGCUGGAGAAUUGAGGGGGGCUGCUCCUAGUACGAGAGGACCGGAGUGGACGCAUCACUGGUGUUCGGGUUGUCAUGCCAAUGGCACUGCCCGGUAGCUAAAUGCGGAAGAGAUAAGUGCUGAAAGCAUCUAAGCACGAAACUUGCCCCGAGAUGAGUUCUCCCUGACUCCUUGAGAGUCCUGAAGGAACGUUGAAGACGACGACGUUGAUAGGCCGGGUGUGUAAGCGCAGCGAUGCGUUGAGCUAACCGGUACUAAUGAACCGUGAGGCUUAACCUUACAACGCCGAAG
rnacentral:rRNA from 1 species